UACCCGCAGCACAAGUGGUGGUCAUUAUUAUUGGGCCUAAAGCGUCCGUAGCUGGCCAGUUAGAUGCCUGGGUAAAUCGAUGCGCUCAACGUAUCGAACUCCGGGUAGACCGGCAGGCUUGGGACCGGGAGAGGCGUGAGCUACUCGGGGGGUAGGGGUAAAAUCCUGUAAUCCUCCGGGGAGGACCAGUGGCGAAGGCGUCACGCUAGAACGGCUCCGACAGUGAGGGACGAAGCCCUGGGGCGCAAACCGG
rnacentral:rRNA from 1 species